GAACGGGUGAGUAACACGUGGGUAACCUGCCCAUCAGAAGGGGAUAACACUUGGAAACAGGUGCUAAUACCGUAUAACACUAUUUUCCGCAUGGAAGAAAGUUGAAAGGCGCUUUUGCGUCACUGAUGGAUGGACCCGCGGUGCAUUAGCUAGUUGGUGAGGUAACGGCUCACCAAGGCCACGAUGCAUAGCCGACCUGAGAGGGUGAUCGGCCACACUGGGACUGAGACACGGCCCAGACUCCUACGGGAGGCAGCAGUAGGGAAUCUUCGGCAAUGGACGAAAGUCUGACCGAGCAACGCCGCGUGAGUGAAGAAGGUUUUCGGAUCGUAAAACUCUGUUGUUAGAGAAGAACAAGGAUGAGAGUAGAACGUUCAUCCCUUGACGGUAUCUAACCAGAAAGCCACGGCUAACUACGUGCCAGCAGCCGCGGUAAUACGUAGGUGGCAAGCGUUGUCCGGAUUUAUUGGGCGUAAAGCGAGCGCAGGCGGUUUCUUAAGUCUGAUGUGAAAGCCCCCGGCUCAACCGGGGAGGGUCAUUGGAAACUGGGAGACUUGAGUGCAGAAGAGGAGAGUGGAAUUCCAUGUGUAGCGGUGAAAUGCGUAGAUAUAUGGAGGAACACCAGUGGCGAAGGCGGCUCUCUGGUCUGUAACUGACGCUGAGGCUCGAAAGCGUGGGGAGCGAACAGGAUUAGAUACCCUGGUAGUCCACGCCGUAAACGAUGAGUGCUAAGUGUUGGAGGGUUUCCGCCCUUCAGUGCUGCAGCAAACGCAUUAAGCACUCCGCCUGGGGAGUACGACCGCAAGGUUGAAACUCAAAGGGAAUUGACGGG
rnacentral:rRNA from 1 species